rnacentral:lncRNA from 1 species
UGGUCCUGGACUUUUUUUGUUGGCAAUUUUUUAUUACUAUUUCAAUCUCACUGCCUGUUAUUGGUCUGUUCAGAGUUUCUGUUUCUUCCUGGCUUGAUCUAUGUGAGUUGUAUAUUUCCAGGAAUUUAUACAUCUCCUCUAGAUUUUCUAGUUUGUGCACAUGAAGGUGUUUGUAGUAGCCUUCAAUGAUUUUUUUGUAUUUCUGUGGUGUUGGUUGCAGUAGCUCCCAUUUCAGCUCUAAUUCAGCUAUUUCAGUUCUAAUUGAUCUUCUCUCAUCUUUUCUUGGUUAAUCUUACUAAUGGUCUAUCAAUUUUGUUUUAUUUUUUCAAAGAACCAGCUUCUUGUUUCAUUUAGCUUUUGUAUUUUUUUUUUUGGUUUCAAUUUUAUUUAGUUCUGCUCUGAUCUUUGUUAUUUAUUUUCUUCUGCUGGGUUUGGGUUUGGUUUGUUCUUGUUUCUCUAGUUCCUUGAGAUGUGACCUUAAAUUGUCUAUUUGUACUCUUUCAUAGUUUUUGAUGUAGGCAUUUAAUGCUGUGAACUUUCCUCUUAGCACCACUUUUGUAGUGUCCCAUAGGUUUUGAUAAGUUGUGUCACAAUUAUCGUUCUGCUGAUGAAAAGAAUGUAUAUUCUACAGUUGUUGGGUAGAAUGUUCUGUAAAUAUCUGUUAAGUCCAUUUGUUUUAGAGUACAGUUUAAGUCCAUUGUUUCUUUGUUGCCUUUCUGUCUUGAUGACCUGUCUAGUGCUAUCAGUGGAAUAUUGAAGUCCCCCACUGUUACUGUGUUGCCAUCUAUCUCAUUUCUUAUGUCUAGUAAUAAUUAUUUUAUAAUUUUGGCAGCUCCAGUGUUAUAUGCAUAUAUAUUUAGAAUUGUGAUAUUUUCCUGUUGGACUAGUAAUUUUAUCAUUAUAUAAUGUCCCUCUUUGUCUUUUUUAACUGUUGUUGCUUUAAAGUCUGUUUUGUCUGAUAUAAGAAUAGGUACUUCUGCUUACUUUUGGUGUCCAUUUGCAUGGAAUAUGUUUUUCCACCCCUUUAUCAUAAGUUUAUAUGAGUCCUUAUGUGUUAGGUGAGUCUCUUGAAAACGGCAGAUACUUGGUUGGUGGAUUUUUAUCCAUUCUGCCAUUCUGUACCUUUUAAGUGGAGCAUUUGGGCCGUUUACAUUUAAUGUUAUUAUUGAGCUGUAAGGUGUUGUUUUAUUUAUUGUGCUAGUUGUUUUCUGAAUACCUUGGUUUUUGUUGUUGUUGUUGCUCAUUGUGUUAUUGUUUAGUUCCUGUGAGAUUUAUGCUUUUAGGAGGUUCUAUUUUGGUGGGUUUUGAGGUUUUGUUUCAAGAUUUAGAACUCCUUUUAGCAUGUCUUAUAGUGCUGGCUUGGUAGUGGUGAAUUAUUUUAGCAUUUGUUUGUCUGAAAUAGACUUUCUUUCUUCUUCAUUUUUGAAGCUUAGUUUUUCUGCAUAUAAAAUUCUUGACUAGAAAUUAUUUUGUUUAGGGAGGCUAAAGAUAGGACCCCAAUCCCUUUUGGCUUAUAGGAUUUCUGCUAAGAAAUCUGCUGUUAAUGAUGGGUUUUCCUUUAUACAUUAUCUGAUGCUUUUGCCUCACAGCUCUUAAGAUUCUUUCCUUUAUCUUGACUUUAGAUAACCUAUGAUGACUACGUGCCUGGGUUAUAAUCAUUUUGCAAUGAAUUUCCCAGGUGUCUUUAGAGCUUCUUGUAUUUGGAUUUCUAGGUAUCUAUUGAGGCUGGGGAAGUUUUCCUCAAUUAUUAUCUCAGAUAUGUUUUCCAGACUUUUAGACUUCUCUUCUUCCUUGGGAACACCAAUUAUUCUUAGAUUUUUCAUUUACCAUAAUCCCAAAUUUCUUGGGGGCUUUGUUAAUUUUUUAAAGUUAUUUUUUAUUUGUCUUUGUUGGAUUGGGUUAAUUUAAAAGUCUUGUUUUCGAGCCUUGAGUUUCUUUUUUCUACUUGUUUGAUUCUAUUGUUGAAACUUUCCAGUGCACUUUGUGUUUCUCUAAGUGUGUCUUUCAUUUCCAAAAGUUGUGAUUAUUUUCUCUUUAUGAUACCUAUUUCUCUGGAGCAUUUUUUUUCUCCCAAUCUUGUAUUGUUUUUUAAAUUUCUUUAAGUUGGUUUUUACCUUUCUCUAGUACCUCCUUGAGUAGCUUAAUAAUCAACCUUCUGAAUUCUUCAUCUGACAAUUCGGAGAUUUUUUUUUCUUGGUUUGAUCCAUUGCUGGGGAGCUAGUGUGGUCUUUUAGGGGUGUUAUAGAACCUUGUUUUGUCAUAUUACCAGAAUUACUUUUUUGAUUCCUUCUCAUUUGGAUAGACUAUUUCAGUGGAAAAAUCUGGAAGUCAAGGGCUGCUGUUCAGCUUCUUUUGUUCCACAGGAUGAUCCUUUCAUGUGGUGCACUCCCCCUCACCCUAGGGAUAGGGCUUCCUGUGAACCAGAUUGCAAUAAUUGUUGUUGCUUUUCUGGGUCUAGUUACCCAGCAGGUCUACUGGGCUUUGGGCUGGUGUCUGCAAAGAGUCCUGUGAUGCAAUCCAUCUUCAGGUCCCCCAGCCAUGGAUACCAGCACCUGCUCUGGAGGAGGUGGCAGGGGAGUG